UAGCUUCAGCAGCUUUUCUUCCUUUUCUUCUCUAAAUUCAGCACCUACUAAUACUUAAGAUUGUAACACGUGCUUCCGGUUCUCGGUUGGAAAGGUUGGGGAAUUUUAUAUCAGAUGAAGGAGGUGGUAUAUCAAGAAGUGGCCUUCCCAAAGAUUUUUACAUACUUUUACAGCACUGCUAAGAAUCCUCUUGAAGAAAACUAUGAAGGCGUGCAUCAAGGGAGUAACAAAGGCUGGAUAUGGCUAUGGACUUCCAAGUUCCAAUCACUCGUCUAUAUGCACGAUAUUGUGGAGGUGAUCUUCAAAUUAUAUCAAUGGAAAGGAUAUGGCACUGAUGCCUAUCUUCACUUGUCCCGGUUGGGAGAUUCACAAGAACCUCUUCCAUGAGACAUCUCAUGGGAGCUAACUAAAAACUCGAAGCUCUUUGGAGGACAUCUCAUGCUUUGCCAUUUUCCUUUUAUUAUGUAAACAUAAUUUCUUACUUUUUUUCUGAAAUGCUUCAAUCAACCCAAUUGU